CGAUCAGGUCGGCGAGGGCGGCGGCGGCCUCGGAGGCGGUCGUGCGGCCGUGGUUCAACUCCGUGGCGAUCGC
rnacentral:tRNA from 1 species